UUUCUGCCUUUAGUGAAGCCUCCCUUCAU
rnacentral:piRNA from 1 species